rnacentral:sRNA from 1 species
GAAGUCCUCUAUUUAUCCACAGGCCAGGUACGGUAGAGGCAGCCGCAAUGCGAGCUUCCACAUCCUACUCUGGUAUUGAGCUCCAGUCUCCUGGAGGAGCCAGCUUCUCUAGGGGUGUAAAGGUAAAUUUC